AGGGCUUGACAUACAGCUGCACAUCCUAUGAAAGUAGGACUCCUUCGAGGGUGCUGUAC
rnacentral:rRNA from 1 species